GUUUGAUCCUGGCUCAGGACGAACGCUGGCGGCGUGCCUAAUACAUGCAAGUCGAGCGAGCGGAACCAACAGAUUUACUUCGGUAAUGACGUUGGGAAAGCGAGCGGCGGAUGGGUGAGUAACACGUGGGGAACCUGCCCCUAAGUCUGGGAUACCAUUUGGAAACAGGUGCUAAUACCGGAUAAGAAAGCAGAUCGCAUGAUCAGCUUUUAAAAGGCGGCGUAAGCUGUCGCUAAGGGAUGGCCCCGCGGUGCAUUAGCUAGUUGGUAAGGUAACGGCUUACCAAGGCAACGAUGCAUAGCCGAGUUGAGAGACUGAUCGGCCACAUUGGGACUGAGACACGGCCCAAACUCCUACGGGAGGCAGCAGUAGGGAAUCUUCCACAAUGGACGCAAGUCUGAUGGAGCAACGCCGCGUGAGUGAAGAAGGUUUUCGGAUCGUAAAGCUCUGUUGUUGGUGAAGAAGGAUAGAGGUAGUAACUGGCCUUUAUUUGACGGUAAUCAACCAGAAAGUCACGGCUAACUACGUGCCAGCAGCCGCGGUAAU
rnacentral:rRNA from 1 species